UAAAAAGCAAAGAAACCUGAAGUAACGGAAGCGAUAGAGACGCAGAUGAUAUCCAAGAAAACCCAAAAAUGGAGGAGAAAUGGAAGUGAGCUCAACCACAGCUUGGAUCGAUCAUCAUAUUACGGAUCGUAUUAGCUACUCAACAAGAAAAUCAAAAAGGGAUUAGAGAGAAGAAUCAGAAUUUGAUGAAAUCCAAACUUAU